rnacentral:lncRNA from 1 species
AAACCCUAGAGACCAGCCGCCACCAUUCCCCACCGCCUUCCGGUGGUGGCGCCGGCUCCGUUCACCUCCAAAAUCACACCCCAAAACCACCACAACCCCCUCUUUCCAAAUCCCCGAUCUGUUUCCCUCGAAUAUUGCCAGAACCUCUCGAAUUUCAAAUCUAAAUCGAGCCCUAAAAGUUUAAAAUCGGUUUCCCAUGAACCUAAUAACAUGCAUCGAUCCAGACCCCUAAUCUUCGUCAUUAGAAGGAUUGAUUCACUACAAAACUGAUGUUGCUCAUUUGUUCUUGACAAAGAACAAAUGAUUGGCAUCAGUUUCGGAUAAAUCAGAGUAUCGAGUGUAAUUUCAAGUUUAGCCGGUAAGUUCCCUUCAUUAUUUCUGUUCGUUUAGUGUUUGUUUCAUCUCUAUCUCUUCUUCUUUUCUACUUUGUGUAUCUUAGUUGUCUGACUUUGGAUUGAAAUUAUAAUAGUAUCUUCCUAUUAGGUUAAUUUGUUUGUUCAUUCAUUUCUGUCCAUCUUUAACUUUUAUUUUAAUUCCUAAAAAAAAAGGAUUGUGCCCUAAUUUUGGUUUAUCCGUUCUGUCUAGUUUUAGGUUUGUAUCCAGCUUCUAUUUUAGUUGUUUAAGCUCAUGAGUUUGCCAUUGAAUCAGCAAGUUUCCAGUUUUCAAUUUAUGUUUAUAUUAUUCUAAUAGGCAGCAUAUUAGUAUCCUCGUGAUGUUUUGAUUACUUGUUAAAAUGAUUAUGUUAAAUGUGUCAAAGGUCGAAUCUCAAAUAGGCUCUUCAUUGUUCUUUUCUUGCUAAUGUCAGUUCAGAUUGUUCAUAUGAAGGGUUAUUGUUGACUCUGUUUCAAUGCUAAACCUAUUUAGGUUUCAGAAACUAAUGUCCUUUGGUUCUGGUUGCCUAGCAAUUCUGUAAAUGUUUAGAACUUUCAGAGAUUCUAAUUGAAUAAUUAGGAACUUAAGGGGUAGUUUAGGAAUUAUUUAAUAAAGGAGAUUGUUUACCUAACUUAGGAAGCUUCUCAAUAGUGGUAGGGUACAAAUUGCAUUACUGAAUUAAUUAAAAGCACUAAGUUAAUGGAUAGUUAAGAAAUGAAAAGCAGAAUUGAUAAUGGGAAUGACACUAAUUGAAUGCCUAUUUAAAGGUUGAAGAUCAGAGAACAAAAAAAGGGAGGCAGGACAUUCAGACAUAGAGGAGAAGAACAUUCUGAUAUUUUGAAAGUAUUGAAAAAAUACAGAUUUUUUAGAAAUAAGAAUCCGAUAAAUCAGCUGAAAACUCUCUACUGUACCAUUGAGCAUAAGUAAUUCCUGAUUCUUUUAAGCUCUAGAAACAAUAAUGUUCAGUGAUGGGAUUUGAGUUGAUUUGAUACUAGUUUUUGGAAGGUUUUGAUUAAAUUGUGUUAAAGACUAUUGUUCCAUUGGAUUGUAAAUCAAUUUUCUGGUUUCAUUUGCUGAAUUUGGGCUGUGUUGUUGCUGCUGCCGAUUUCUGUUGUUUAAAAAUUGCUGAUCCUUCUUUAUUUCUUUGUCCCUUCAAUCUCAGGUACCUUCUUAGCUCCUGAAUAAUGAUUGAUUGUUGAACAUGUAAAUCAGGUGGAAUACUAAUUGGAUACAGGCUGCAUUUGAACUUAAUUUCCCCUGUUUCUCAUUCUACUUUAAUAUUCUGUAAUAAAUAUGUAGUUUUUGAUGUUAUCUAAGCUAUCAUUUGCACAUUUAAUGCUGUGUAUGUUCAGUAGUUAUAUGUAUGGGUAAUUGGACAUGUAUGUAUGAUUCUGUUGUGUAUGUUCAAUAGUUGUAUGUAUAGGUAAUUGGACAUGUACGUAUGAUUCUUAUUUGAGAUCAGUAUGGUUCGAAGUAUUUUGCAAGCAUGUUCUGUGU